ACCUGCCCAUAAGACUGGGAUAACUCCGGGAAACCGGGGCUAAUACCGGAUAAUAUUUUGAACUGCAUGGUUCGAAAUUGAAAGGCGGCUUCGGCUGUCACUUAUGGAUGGACCCGCGUCGCAUUAGCUAGUUGGUGAGGUAACGGCUCACCAAGGCAACGAUGCGUAGCCGACCUGAGAGGGUGAUCGGCCACACUGGGACUGAGACACGGCCCAGACUCCUACGGGAGGCAGCAGUAGGGAAUCUUCCGCAAUGGACGAAAGUCUGACGGAGCAACGCCGCGUGAGUGAUGAAGGCUUUCGGGUCGUAAAACUCUGUUGUUAGGGAAGAACAAGUGCUAGUUGAAUAAGCUGGCACCUUGACGGUACCUAACCAGAAAGCCACGGCUAACUACGUGCCAGCAGCCGCGGUAAUACGUAGGUGGCAAGCGUUAUCCGGAAUUAUUGGGCGUAAAGCGCGCGCAGGUGGUUUCUUAAGUCUGAUGUGAAAGCCCACGGCUCAACCGUGGAGGGUCAUUGGAAACUGGGAGACUUGAGUGCAGAAGAGGAAAGUGGAAUUCCAUGUGUAGCGGUGAAAUGCGUAGAGAUAUGGAGGAACACCAGUGGCGAAGGCGACUUUCUG
rnacentral:rRNA from 1 species